CCAAAUCUUAAGCUAAGAUUUGUGAAGAAAAAGCUUAAAUAUAAGCCUAAAAGCUCUUAUAUAAGAGCUCUUUUUUCACAAAUCUUAGCCUAAGAUUUUG
rnacentral:pre_miRNA from 1 species